UACAGAGGGUGCGAGCGUUAAUCGGAAUUACUGGGCGUAAAGCGUGCGUAGACGGUUACGUAAGUCGGGUGUGAAAUCCCCGGGCUCAACCCGGGAACUGCGUCCGAUACUGGAAGGCUUGAAUCCGGGAGAGGGAUGCGGAAUUCCAGGUGUAGCGGUGAAAUGCGUAGAUAUCUGGAGGAACACCGGUGGCGAAGGCGACAUCCUGGACCGGUAUUGACGCUGAGGCGCGAAAGCCAGGGGAGCAAACGGG
rnacentral:rRNA from 1 species